CAGUCGCCGCGGGAAUACGUAGGGUGCGAGCGUUAAUCGGAAUUACUGGGCGUAAAGCGUGCGCAGGCGGUUGUGUAAGACAGGUGUGAAAUCCCCGGGCUUAACCUGGGAACUGCGCUUGUGACUGCACAGCUAGAGUAUGGCAGAGGAGGGUGGAAUUCCACGUGUAGCAGUGAAAUGCGUAGAGAUGUGGAGGAACACCGAUGGCGAAGGCAGCCCCCUGGGCCAAUACUGACGCUCAUGCACGAAAGCGUGGGGAGCAAACAGGAUUAGAUACCCCCGUAGUCCCUGUCUCUUAUAC
rnacentral:rRNA from 1 species